rnacentral:rRNA from 1 species
UACGUAGGGUGCAAGCGUUGUCCGGAAUUAUUGGGCGUAAAGAGCUCGUAGGCGGUUUGUCGCGUCUGCUGUGAAAACUCGGGGCUUAACUCCGGGCCUGCAGUGGGUACGGGCAGACUAGAGUGCGGUAGGGGAGACUGGAAUUCCUGGUGUAGCGGUGAAAUGCGCAGAUAUCAGGAGGAACACCGGUGGCGAAGGCGGGUCUCUGGACAGUUACUGACGCUGAGGCACGAAGGCCAGGGGAGCAAACGGG